UCCUGUUGGGAAAUCUAGGAAAAUUUUUCCCUUUGUCAACUGAAACAUACCAUUCACGUCUGUAAAGUUCUAAUAGUGAUUAUCAUAAUAUAAAAUAAGAUUUGUGUGUUUUCUCUUUUUCGAGAAAAGUUAUGUACUAGAGCAAGACUGGUACGGAGAAUGACAGUAAAUAAAAACAUGACAAUGGGGAGAUGCUGAAUCAGGUGUUUAUAAUACUUGUCAAUGGACCAAUGAACACCUCACACUUUGAGAACCAAAUUCGCAGGCAGCAUCUGAGAACGAGUCCUGGAUUUCGAGCGUUGGAGGGCUGUGCAGACAAUGACAGAGGAAGUGGCUGUUCGGAUGAGGCACGGCGGAGCCAAGCAGACACUGGGAGAACUUCAGGUCGUUAGGGAUUCCCAGGUCAUUUGCUGCCCAAAGAGUAACGUCGACCCCAGCUCCUGGGUAGAUGUCAACAAGGACAAAUGCCUGUAGAAAAAUUAACUUGGAUAAACUGAAAACUGCUCUUUGCCCAUAUAUUAAACAAUCUGGAACCUUU